UAGCAGACACACACACUAACACUCAUUAGCAGACACACACUAACACUCACUCUAACACUCACACUAACACUCACUCACACUAACACUCACUCUAACACUCACACACACUAACACUCACUCUAACACUCACACACACACUAACACAUGAUUUUUUUUUUUUAAUAUAAUCCCCCCAGCCUCCUUACCUCUUGGAGUGCUGGGGGGGAUUAUUCCC